AGUGGCGAACGGGUGAGUACAAGGUACGAACAUACCUUCAAGCAGGGGAUAGCUCCGAGAAAUCGGAGGUAAUACCCUAUAAUAUCUACGGAUUAAAGAUUCAUCACUUGAAGAAUGGCGUGCUGGCUACCAGCUUGUUGGUGAGGUAAAGGCUCACCAAGGCUAUGACGGCUACCGGCUCUUAGCGGAGAGUCCGGCACAAUGGGACUGAGAUACGGCCCAUACACC
rnacentral:rRNA from 1 species